UAUAUUGAAAAACAGAGUUCAAUAGUCAAAACAAAUUUUGAAAAUGAUCUAAAUCUGACCACUAUACGAGGCGUACGAGUUUGUCCUAUAAGACAUGGCGUGUUUGGCACCGGGCCCCUUUGCGCGGGGAGUCUAUAUUUUGAUUGUUAUUUGGGAUAUUUGUAUCUUUUGUAUUUUACUCCCCCUCUCCCCUUCCAUGAUCUGUCCGUCGCGGUUUUUCAGCGACAAGAUAUUAGGAUUUUCAUUCGCGUUUACGCACUUAGGGGUCAGGAUAGUAUGGCGAACUUCUUCGGAGCAGUAUCGUCGGGUACGCAUAAAUAUGUGGGUUGUACAGGAUUAUCGUGUAACGCGAACAAAGAAUCUGAGAUAACGCACGUUUGUUGAUACGUGCACGUAUCGGGGGCGUAUCGUUUACAGGUCAUCCGAGCUUUAAUUAUAACCAAUACGUUAAAAAUACUCUGGCCCGUGUAACUCGCA